rnacentral:lncRNA from 1 species
CUACCUGUCUAUCUGUCUACCUAUCUGCCCACCUAUCUGCCUAUCUGUCUACCUGUAUCUGUCUGCCUGACUGUCUACCUAUCUGACUACCUAUCUGCCUAUCUAUCUGUCUACCUAUCUGCCUACCUAUCUGCCUACCUGUCUGUCUACCUGUCUACCUGCCUACCUAUCUGUCUACCUGUCUAUCUGCCUACCUAUCUGCCUACCUGUCUGCCUAUCUGUCUACCUGUAUCUGCCUACCUGUCUGUCUACCUGUCUACCUAUCUGUCUACCUGUCUAUCUGCCUACCUGUCUGUCUAUCUGUCUACCUGUAUCUGUCUGCCUGACUGUCUACCUAUCUGCCUACCUGUCUGUCUACCUGUCUACCUGCCUACCUAUCUGUCUACCUGUCUAUCUGCCUACCUGUCUGCCUAUCUGUCUACCUGUAUCUGUCUGCCUACCUGUCUACCUAUCUGCCUACCUGUCUGUCUACCUGCCUACCUAUCUACCUACCUAUCUGCCUACCUAUCUGCCUAUCUGUCUACCUGUAUCUGUCUGCCUGACUGCCUACCUAUCUGCCUACCUGUCUACCUGCCUACCUAUCUGCCUAUCUGUCUAUUUGCCUACCUAUCUGCCUAUCUGUUUACCUGUAUCUGUCUGCCUGACUGUCUACCUGUAUCUGUCUGCCUGACUGUCUACCUAUCUGACUACCUACUUGUCUGUCUACCUAUCUGCCUACCUAUCUGCCCGCCUAUUUGCCUACGUGUCUGUCUACCUGUCUAUUUGUCUGCCUGCCUACCUGACUACCUACCUGUCUGUCUACCUAUCUGCCUUCCUGUCUGUCUACCUAUCUGUCUGUCUGCCUACCUAUCUCCCUACCUGACUACCUGUCUGUCUACCUGUCUAUUUGCUGACUUAUCUGCCUACCUAUCUGCCUACUUGCCUACUUGUCUAACUGUCUACCAAUCCCUCCAUCCCUUCACCAAUGCAUUUCUUUCACUUUCUCUCUACCUCUUCAUCUGUGUUUCUAUCUAUCUAUCUAUCUAUCUAUCUAUCUAUCUAUCUAUUCAACUGUGUAUCUAUCUAUCUAUCUAUCUAUUCAACUGUGUAUCUAUCUAUCUAUCUAUCUAUCUAUUCAACUGUGUAUCUAUCUAUCUAUCUAUCUAUCUAUCUAGUAUCUAUCUAUCUAUCUAUCUAUCUAUCUAUCUAUCUAUCUAUCCAUCCAUCCAUCUAUCUAUUCAACUGUGUAUCCAUCUACGAAUCCAUCUAUCAACCCAUCCCUCCAUCCAUCCACCAAUACAUUUCCUUCUUUCUAGUGUUAUUCGCCCCCCUCUUUGGUUGAACGGGACGUGGAGUCUUGGGCAGGAACGUGGGUUGCGAAUAGGACGUCCCUCCUGA